rnacentral:lncRNA from 1 species
CGCCAACCUUGGGAUGCUUUACUCCUAACUCCACAACAGUUCCGAGAUUAAGCUUAACUUGAGUCUCUAGGUUUGAGAAUAAGAUGGGAUCCUUUAAUGUAGUGGAUGAUGAAUCACUAAUCAAAAAGUAGAUUUUUGAGAGAUUCUUUAUCAAUCUAAUGGUCGGUGAAUCACUAAUCAAAAAGCGAGUAGCCGUCAGAUUUAAUGAUUAAUAAAAAAUAAGAAAAAUAAUAUAAUCUUCUAUAAAUCUGGUUGCAUUGUGCAUGAUCUAUGGAUCGAGAUAAUUGGGAA